GGCAUUCCUGGAAGAAGCCACUGCGUUAGAUCCCAGAUUCAAAUCCAAAGUGGACAACGAUGAAAUCUGGGACAGAGUCAGGGCAACAGCAGUGACAGCAAACACACCAGCAGCUGCAGCAGAAGAGCUGUCACAGUGUGGAGAGACACAGAGGCAGGUAGAAGAAGAGGAAGACGAAGAAGAUGACUAUACCCCACCCAUAAAGCAGCAAAAGAAGACAGCCCUAGAAGAACUUUUUGAAGAAGAGGACAGUGAGCUUUUGUCUGUGCAGCAGCAGCCCCCUGUCUCCAUAGCCCAAAGAGUUGAUCAAGAAGUCCAACUAUACAGAACCCUUCCUCCCAUCCCAACCAAAGACAGCGCCACCCUCUGGUGGUGGAUGAAGAGGGACACUUUGCCAAUGGUGUCAGCUUUAGCUGAGAAGUAUCUCUGCAUCCAAGCCUCCUCCACACCAUCUGAAAGGGUGUUCUCCACAGCUGGAGACACCCUAAGUCCAGAACGAUCUCGUAUCCUUCCUGAGAAGGCAAACAUGCUA